UACAGAGGUCCCAAGCGUUGUUCGGAUUCACUGGGCGUAAAGGGUGCGUAGGCGGUCAUUUAAGUCUGACGUGAAAUCUCCGGGCCUAACCCGGAAACUGCGUUGGAAACUAUCUGACUAGAGGAAUGGAGGGGAGACUGGAACACUUGGUGUAGCAGUGAAAUGCGUAGAUAUCAAGUGGAACACCAGUGGCGAAGGCGAGUCUCUGGACAUUUCCUGACGCUGAGGCACGAAAGCCAGGGGAGCAAACGGG
rnacentral:rRNA from 1 species